rnacentral:rRNA from 1 species
AAUAUUGGACAAGGGGCGAAAGCCUGUUCCAGCCAUGCCGCGCGUGUGAAGAAGGUCUUCGGAUUGUAAAGCACUUUAAGUUGGGAGGAAGGGCAGUCAGUUAAUACCUUGCUGCGUUGACGUUACCGCCAGAGUAAGCACCGGCGAACUUCGGGCCCGCAGCCGCGGUAAUACGACGGGUGCAAGCGUUAAUCGGGAGUACUGGGCCUAAAGCGCGCGUAGGAGGUUUGUUAAGUUGGAAGUGAAAGCCCCGGGCUCAACCGGGGAACUGCUUUAAAAACUGGCAGGCUAGGGUAUGGCAGAGGGUGGUGGAAUUUCCUGGGUAGCGGUGAAAUGCGUAGAUAUAGGAAGGAACACCAGUGGCGAAGGCGACCACCUGAGCUAAUACUGACACUGAGGUGCGAAAGCGUGGGAAGCAAA